rnacentral:rRNA from 1 species
AUGCCGCGGUGAAUACGUUCCCGGGCCUUGUACACACCGCCCGUCACACCACGAGAGCUUGCAACACCCGAAGUCGGUGAGGUAACCCGCAAGGGAGCCAGCCGCCGAAGGUGGGGCAAGUGAUUGGGGUGAAGUCGUAACAAGGUAGCCGUACCGGAAGGUGCUGGAUCACCUCCUUUCU